UAACAAGGAUUCCCCUAGUAACUGCGAGUGAAGCGGGAAAAGCUCAAAUUUAAAAUCUGGUAGUCUUUGGCUGCCCGAGUUGUAAUCUAGAGAAGCGUCUUCCGCGCUGGACCGUGUACAAGUCUUUUGGAAUAAAGCAUCAUAGAGGGUGAGAAUCCCGUCUUUGACACGGACUACCAGUGCUUUGUGAUGCGCUCUCAAAGAGUCGAGUUGUUUGGGAAUGCAGCUCAAAAUGGGUGGUAAAUUCCAUCUAAAGCUAAAUAUUGGCGAGAGACCGAUAGCGAACAAGUACCGUGAGGGAAAGAUGAAAAGCACUUUGGAAAGAGAGUUAAACAGUACGUGAAAUUGUUGAAAGGGAAACGCUUGAAGUCAGUCGCGUUGUUCAGAACUCAGCCUGGCUCCCGCUUGGUGUAUUUUCUGUUUAACGGGCCAGCAUCAAUUUUGACCAUUGGAAAAAGGCCAGAGGAAUGUGGCAUCUUCGGGUGUGUUAUAGCCUCUGGUUGCAUACAAUGGUUGGGAUUGAGGAUCUCAGCAUGCCUUUUGGCCGGGGUUCGCCCACGUUCAUGCUUAGGAUGCUGGCGUAAUGGCUUUAAACGAC
rnacentral:rRNA from 1 species